rnacentral:lncRNA from 1 species
AUCCACUCCAGCAUCUCUGGGUCCCCACGUCGCUAUCUCCCUGGGCAGGCAACUGAAAAUACCCCCUGCGUCCCAUUUGAUGUGCAGUUGUGAGAUUCCCUUUGAAUAUUGCAGCAGCGAGUUGACGGUUGCCAAGGGAACACCAGUUUUCCCAGGCAGCUUUGCAAAAGCAUCCUUGCUCUCCUCUGCCCAGCCCCAAUUCACACUGGCCUGGCUGGCCACACACCAGCCUCUGCUGUCCAAGUUAGAGAACCCUGUGAGCUUGGACUGGACUUGAACCAUCUGCUUCUGGAGUGGCCAUGGUUGUUUCACCAGCAUUUACUCACUUGUACACCAGAGUCAUCUGUGAGUAGGAUGUGGGUUUGUGCAUUAAUAAUGAUUACUU